UGAGUCGCAGUGCAGUCGCGUAGGCAGUCGCGUGUAUGACGUCAAGAACGGAUAUUAUUAGUGUUGGGUAAAAUGAGAGCAAUGAGAGAAGGAGAGCAACGUAUCGCGCCUGUUCUGGCGGUCCGCCUCACCGCGUGCACUGGUCCGGCGCGGGCCUUUCCCUCUGCUGUUUCCCAUACCCUUCACUGGGCGUGGCGGGGAAACAGGACAUUUACUUUGAAAAAAUUAGAGUGCUCCAGGCAGGCCUAUGCUCGAAUACAUUAGCAUGGAAUAAUAAAAUAGGACGCGCGGUUCUAUUUUGUUGGUUUAUAGGGACCGCCGUAAUGAUUAAUAGGGACGGUCGGGGGCAUCAGUAUUCAACUGUCAGAGGUGAAAUUCUUGGAUCAGUUGAAGACUAACUACUGCGAAAGAUUUGCCAAGGAUGUGUUCAUUAAUCAGGAACGAAAGUUAGGGGAUCGAAGACGAUCAGAUACCGUCGUAGUCUUAACCAUAAACUAUGCCGACUAGGGAUCGGACGGUGUUAUUCAUGACCCCGUUCGGCACCUUACGAGAAAUCAAAGUGCUUGGGCUCCAGGGGGAGUAUGGUCGCAAGGCUGAAACUUAAAGAAAUUGACGGAAGGGCACCACCAGGGGUGGAGCCUGCGGCCUUAAUUUGACUUCAUCACGGGGGAAACUCACCAGGUCCAGGACACAAUAAGGAAUGACAGAUUGGGAGCUCUUUUCUGAUUUUAGUGGGCGGGGGUGCAUUGCCGGUCCCUAACUUGGGGGGGUGACUUGUCCUGCCUUAAUUGCGAUAACGACCAGAACUUAAACUAGCUAAAAAAGCCCGCAUGUGUUCCCGGCGAGGCGCGGGGUUUUUUAAGAGGGCUUUUUCCGGUCCA
rnacentral:rRNA from 1 species